ensembl:snRNA U5 U5 spliceosomal RNA
AUACUCUGGUUUCUCUUCAGAUCGUAUAAAUCUUUCGCCUUUUACUAAAGAUUUCCGUGGAGAGGAACAAACACGAGUGUCGUGGAAUUUUUUGAGGCUCCGCUUCGGCGGAGCU